rnacentral:tRNA from 1 species
GCGGAGGUUGCCAAGCCAGGUCAAAGGCGUAAGCUGACCAGCUUCGGUUGGUAAGACCGCUACGGGUUGAGGUCCCUAUUCCGUAGGGAUUCGCGAGUUCAAAUCUCGCCCUCCGCACCA